AAAUUGAAGAGUUUGAUCAUGGCUCAGAUUGAACGCUGGCGGCAGGCCUAACACAUGCAAGUCGAACGGUAACAGGAAGCAGCUUGCUGCUUCGCUGACGAGUGGCGGACGGGUGAGUAAUGUCUGGGAAACUGCCUGAUGGAGGGGGAUAACUACUGGAAACGGUAGCUAAUACCGCAUAAUGUCGCAAGACCAAAGAGGGG
rnacentral:rRNA from 1 species